rnacentral:rRNA from 1 species
AUUGAACGCUGGCGGCAGGCCUAACACAUGCAAGUCGAGCGGAGCGGCGGACGGGUGAGUAAUGCCUAGGAAUCUGCCUGGUAGUGGGGGAUAACGUCCGGAAACGGGCGCUAAUAUCGCAUACUAUCAGAUGAGCCUAGUUCGGGUUAGCUAGUUGGUGGGGUAAAGGCCUACCAAGGCGACGAUCCGUAACUGGUCUGAGAGGAUGAUCAGUCAAACUGGAACUGAGACACGUCCAAGACUCCUACGGGAGGCACCAGGGGGGACUAUUGGCCAAUGGGCGAAAGCCUUGUCCAGCCAUGCCGCGUGUUUGAAGAAGGUCUUCGGAUUUUAAAGCACUUUAAGUUGGGAGGCGUUACCAACAGAGUAAGCACCGGCUAACUUCGUGCCAGCAGCCGCGGUAAUUC